rnacentral:rRNA from 1 species
AACGCGAAGAACCUUACCUGGGCUUGAACUACUGGUAGUAAGCUUUUGGAAACAUUAGCUGAUCCGCAAGGAAGCCAGCAGAGGUGCUGCAUGGUUGUCGUCAGCUCGUGUCGUGAGAUGUUGGGUUAAGUCCCGCAACGAGCGCAACCCCUAUCUCAUGUUGCUAAUCCCGCAAGGGAUGCACUUUUGAGAAACUGCCUUCGAUAAGAAGGAGGAAGGUGGGGACGACGUCAAAUCCUCAUGGCCCUUAUGUCCAGGGCUACACACGUGCUACAAUGGCCGGUACAACGGGAAGCAAUACCGCAAGGUGGAGCAAAACCCUGAAAGCCGGCCCCAGUUCAGAUCGUGGGCUGAAACUCGCCCACGUGAAGGCGGAAUCGCUAGUAAUCGCGAAUCAGCAGGUCGCGGUGAAUACGUUCCCGGGCCUUGUA